AGAGUUUGAUCCUGGCUCAGAUUGAACGCUGGCGGCAGGCCUAACACAUGCAAGUCGAACGGUAGCACAGAGAGCUUGCUCUCGGGUGACGAGUGGCGGACGGGUGAGUAAUGUCUGGGAAACUGCCUGAUGGAGGGGGAUAACUACUGGAAACGGUAGCUAAUACCGCAUAACGUCGCAAGACCAAAGUGGGGGACCUUCGGGCCUCAUGCCAUCAGAUGUGCCCAGAUGGGAUUAGCUAGUAGGUGGGGUAAAGGCUCACCUAGGCGACGAUCCCUAGCUGGUCUGAGAGGAUGACCAGCCACACUGGAACUGAGACACGGUCCAGACUCCUACGGGAGGCAGCAGUGGGGAAUAUUGCACAAUGGGCGCAAGCCUGAUGCAGCCAUGCCGCGUGUAUGAAGAAGGCCUUCGGGUUGUAAAGUACUUUCAGCGGGGAGGAAGGCGUUAAGGUUAAUAACCUUGGCGAUUGACGUUACCCGCAGAAGAAGCACCGGCUAACUCCGUGCCAGCAGCCGCGGUAAUACGGAGGGUGCAAGCGUUAAUCGGAAUUACUGGGCGUAAAGCGCACGCAGGCGGUCUGUUAAGUCAGAUGUGAAAUCCCCGGGCUCAACCUGGGAACUGCAUUUGAAACUGGCAGGCUUGAGUCUUGUAGGGGGGGGUAGAAUUCCAGGUGUAGCGGUGAAAUGCGUAGAGAUCUGGAGGAAUACCGGUGGCGAAGGCGGCCCCCUGGACAAAGACUGACGCUCAGGUGCGAAAGCGUGGGGAGCAAACAGGAUUAGAUACCCUGGUAGUCCACGCUGUAAACGAUGUCGACUUGGAGGUUGUUCCCUUGAGGAGUGGCUUCCGGAGCUAACGCGUUAAGUCGACCGCCUGUGGAGUACGGCCGCAAGGUUAAAACUCAAAUGAAUUGACGGGGGCCCGCACAAGCGGUGGAGCAUGUGGUUUAAUUCGAUGCAACGCGAAGAACCUUACCUACUCUUGACAUCCAGAGAACUUAGCAGAGAUGCUUUGGUGCCUUCGGGAGCUCUGAGACAGGUGCUGCAUGGCUGUCGUCAGCUCGUGUUGUGAAAUGUUGGGUUAAGUCCCGCAACGAGCGCAACCCUUAUCCUUUGUUGCCAGCGGUCCGGCCGGGAACUCAAAGGAGACUGCCAGCGAUAAACUGGAGGAAGGUGGGGAUGACGUCAAGUCAUCACGGCCCUUACGAGUAGGGCUACACACGUGCUACAAUGGCAUAUACAAAGAGAAGCGACCUCGCGAGAGCAAGCGGACCUCAUAAAGUAUGUCGUAGUCCGGAUUGGAGUCUGCAACUCGACUCCAUGAAGUCGGAAUCGCUAGUAAUCGUAGAUCAGAAUGCUACGGUGAAUACGUUCCCGGGCCUUGUACACACCGCCCGUCACACCAUGGGAGUGGGUUGCAAAAGAAGUAGGUAGCUUAACCUUCGGGAGGGCGCUUACCACUUUGUGAUUCAUGACUGGGGUGAAGUCGUAACAAGGUAACC
rnacentral:rRNA from 1 species